GUUGUUCUCAGUUUCUUCUGCUGACACUGCUCAACUUCACAGAAAAUCCUUAAAUAGUCAUUAAAAUUGAGACUGAAACCCAAAUUUCCCAGACACAUAAAUUAAGGGACCAAGAUGUAAAGUAAUUCUGUUACAUUGACAGAGCUAGGUAAGACCAAGGGUUUCCAAUUAUGCUCUAAUACAAAGCACAUUAUGUUCCUGUUAAAUUUACUGUGAAGAGCAGCAAGCUCUUUGAAAAUCAAAUAAAGCAACAAGAAAGGAUAAAUGAAUGGCUUCCACAAAUGCAUUAAUUCUAAUGUAACUGAAAUGGUAAUGAGUUCAUAAAAUUCAGAUAAAAUUAAUGUUGCUUAUGGCAGAAAACUUGAAAAAGAACUUAAUAAACCUUUUCACUUAUACCAUCAUUAAAAUAUAUGAAACAUCUCA